AAUGUGGUCCAUAGGUUAUUGGACUUAACCCAAAUAAAUUAAAAACGGGAUGAAUAUGGGUCGUCACGAUCAAAAAUAGGAUACCACCAAUACUUGCGGGAAACUCCUCUCCUAUUUUCGAUCCAAGGGCGAAGCCAGCGAUGACGGCCACCGAGGUCAACGUCAUUACAUAACAGGGUCAGCAAGGAUAAUAAAAUGAAAUGAACAAUAUUUUUCUGUAGGAUUAGCAUAAUUUCAUCGGGUCAGCAGACCUCGACACGACAAGCAUUAGCUUCCCCCCUGUUUCGGUCCCACUCCUGAUCACUCCC
rnacentral:lncRNA from 1 species